rnacentral:rRNA from 1 species
GAUGAACGCUGGCGGCGUGCCUAAUACAUGCGAGUCGAGCGAACGGACGAGAAGCUUGCUUCUCUGAUGUUAGCGGCGGACGGGUGAGUAACACGUGGAUAACCUACCUAUAAGACUGGGAUAACUUCGGGAAACCGGAGCUAAUACCGGAUAAUAUUUUGAACCGCAUGGUUCAAAAGUGAAAGACGGUCUUGCUGUCACUUAUAGAUGGAUCCGCGCUGCAUUAGCUAGUUGGUAAGGUAACGGCUUACCAAGGCAACGAUGCAUAGCCGACCUGAGAGGGUGAUCGGCCACACUGGAACUGAGACACGGUCCAGACUCCUACGGGAGGCAGCAGUAGGGAAUCUUCCGCAAUGGGCGAAAGCCUGACGGAGCAACGCCGCGUGAGUGAUGAAGGUCUUCGGAUCGUAAAACUCUGUUAUUAGGAAGAACAUAUGUGUAAGUAACUGUGCACAUCUUGACGGUACCUAAUCAGAAAGCCACGGCUAACUACGUG